GCCUUCGUUGAUCAGCGGUGAUCAUUCCCUUCCAGUUCGCGGUACAAUUCGAAAUGUAGAAGCCAUGGGAAGUGUCGGGGUUCGACUCCCCGCGAGGGCG